rnacentral:lncRNA from 1 species
GCCAUUCCCACUGCCCCCUCCAUCCCUCCAUUGCUCUGGGUCUCAGCUUCCCCACCUGUCCCUGAGCUAUGAUUGAGGGUGGGCAUGGUCCUGGAGAGCUCGUCCCAGGUAGGGUGUCCUGAGAAACCUAAUUUGAGGUGAUGGGAGUGGGGCAGCUGCAGAGGAGGGGUCUCCAAGGGACAGCCCCAACAAGUUAGGCCAGCUAAGCACCCCCCCCCCCAUACACACACACACCCGGCUCCCGAUUCAGGGGUCAGUGACUCAGGAAUGAAGGCAGCACCCGGGGCUGAGGCAUUCAGAGGACACACCCAUGGCCACCCUAGGUCAAGGACAGGUGGAUGGGGAUCCAAGCAAGAGCUCGGCUGGGCGGGGGAGGGUACAUAUGGAAGGCCAAGGAGAACCAGAGAGGGAGCAACAGGAGGACAGCACGGCCACAGCAGGGAUCUGCAGAAGGAGCCCCCAUCAGCCAGGGGUUUCCAGACUCUGUGAUAGGGACUGGAAGACUCUGGGGGGAGAACUGCUACACUUAAUGCCAGCUUCUUCUAGCCACCCCUCCUCAGUGUGGAGUGAGUACAGACACCUGGGGGCAGGGGGAGCUGAGCAAGAAGGCAAGGCUUGGCUGCAUGGGCAGUGGGGUUUCGGGAGGACAGGUGAGGCCCCAGCCCCGUCCCCAGCCAAUGCAGGUGGUCCCAUUGCUUUUGACCCUCAAUAUCCAAAAACAACAAGAAAUUGAUAAAGGUCUCUGGUAUAGAAUAAGGAUCUGGAAGCUUGUCUUGGCCUGGACCUCACCCCAUCUGUGGAUGGGGCCCCCUUGGAGGCAGCUCUCACUCAUGGCAAUUCCUCCAAAGUGGCAAACCCACAAAGUGUUCAGAGGCAAACGUGCACUGUCGCUCCGUCGUGUGCAGAACGCUGGUUCCCACCUCCAGGCAGCUCGAGGUCUGUGGGAGACAGACCCUGGGGAGGAGGCUGGAGUUCCCAGGCCUGACAUUUCUUGCCCGGAGGAGGGGAGGGCCUUUCCUCCCCGCAGUCCAGAAAAGCACCCAGGCAGGCCAGCAGCUUUCCCUGUGUCCCCAGAUGGAAAGGUAGGGCCUGUGGCUGGGGGCCGGGGGAUGGGGUGCCUCUGGGUUCUAGGAAGGUGUACAGGGGAGGAUUAG